AGUAACACGCGGGGAACCUGCCCCAUAGUCUGGGAUACCACUUGGAACAGGUGCUAAUACCGGAUAAGAAAGCGGAUCGCAUGAUCAGUUUUUAAAAGGCGGCGUAAGCUGUCGCUAUGGGAUGGCCCCGCGGUGCAUUAGCUAGUUGGUAAGGUAAAGGCUUACCAAGGCGAUGAUGCAUAGCCGAGUUGAGAGACUGAUCGGCCACAUUGGGACUGAGACACGGCCCAAACUCCUACGGGAGGCAGCAGGC
rnacentral:rRNA from 1 species